rnacentral:rRNA from 1 species
GAUGAACGCUGGCGGCGUGCUUAACACAUGCAAGUCGAACGAAGCACCAUGGACAGAAUUUUUCGGAAGGACGACUAUGGCGACUUAGUGGCGGACGGGUGAGUAACGCGUGGGUAACCUGCCCUGUACCGGGGGACAACAGUUGGAAACGACUGCUAAUACCGCAUAAGCGCACGGUAUCGCAUGAUACAGUGUGAAAAACUCCGGUGGUAUAAGAUGGACCCGCGUCUGAUUAGCUUGUUGGUGAGGUAACGGCCCACCAAGGCGACGAUCAGUAGCCGGCCUGAGAGGGUGAACGGCCACAUUGGGACUGAGACACGGCCCAGACUCCUACGGGAGGCAGCAGUGGGGAAUAUUGCACAAUGGAGGAAACUCUGAUGCAGCGACGCCGCGUGAGUGAAGAAGUAGUUCGCUAUGUAAACUCCUGUUGUUGAGGAAGAGUAAUGACGGUACUCAACAAGGAAGUGACGGCUAACUACGUGCCAGCAGCCG